GAAGGCAGGCUGGAAGGAAGGCAGGGAGGGAGGAACGCAGGAAGGAAGGGAGAACGGGAGGGAGGAAGGAAGGAAGGAAAGGAAGAGAGUAAAGACUGGAGGGAGGGAGGAAGGCAUGGCGGGAGGGAGGGAGGAAGGCAGGCAGGCAGAGGGGGAGGGAGGGAGGAAGAAAGGAAAGGAAGGGGGGGAGAAUGGGAGGGAGGUAGGUAUGAAGGAAGUGGGGGGAGGAAGGAAGGAAGAGAGGGAGUGAGAGAAAGUGACAGGAAAGCACGAAGGAAGGGAGGAAGGAAGUCAGGAGGGCAGAAUGGAAAGAAGGAAGUAAAGGAAGAGAGAAGGGGGGGGAGGGAGGUAGGUAUGAAGAGAGGGAGUGAGAGAAAGUGACAGGAAAGUACGAAGGAAGGGAGGGAGGAAGUAAAGGAAGAGAGUAAAGACUGGAGGGAGGGAGGAAGGCAGGCAGG
rnacentral:lncRNA from 1 species